CGUAGGUGGUUCGAUCAGUCGGAGGUGAAAGCCCUCGGCUCAACCGAGGAUCCGCGUCCGAUACUGUCGAACUUGAGUGCAGGAGAGGAGAGCGGAAUUCCCAGUGUAGCGGUGAAAUGCGUAGAUAUUGGGAGGAACACCGGUGGCGAAGGCGGCUCUCUGGACUGCCACUGACACUGAGGCGCGAAAGCUAGGGGAGCAAACGGGAUUAGAUACCCCGGUAGUCCUAGCCGUAAACGAUGGGCACUAGGUGUGGGAGGUAUCGACCCCUUCCGUGCCGCAGCUAACGCACUAAGUGCCCCGCCUGGGGAGUACGGCCGCAAGGUUGAA
rnacentral:rRNA from 1 species